rnacentral:rRNA from 1 species
UACGUAGGGGGCUAGCGUUGUCCGGAAUCAUUGGGCGUAAAGAGCGUGUAGGCGGUCCGGUAAGUCCGCUGUGAAAGUCGGGGGCUCAACCCUCGAAUGCCGGUGGAUACUGUCGGGCUAGAGUGCGGAAGAGGCGAGUGGAAUUCCUGGUGUAGCGGUGAAAUGCGCAGAUAUCGGGAGGAACACCAGCGGCGAAGGCGGCACUCUGGGCUGGAACUGACGCUGAGGAGCGAAAGCGUGGGUAGCAAACAGG